rnacentral:rRNA from 1 species
GGGCGGGGCGGGUGCUAUACAUGCAAGUCGAGCGAACAGACGAGGAGCUUGCUCCUCUGACGUUAGCGGCGGACGGGUGAGUAACACGUGGAUAACCUACCUAUAAGACUGGGAUAACUUCGGGAAACCGGAGCUAAUACCGGAUAAUAUAUUGAACCGCAUGGUUCAAUAGUGAAAGACGGUUUUGCUGUCACUUAUAGAUGGAUCCGCGCCGCAUUAGCUAGUUGGUAAGGUAACGGCUUACCAAGGCAACGAUGCGUAGCCGACCUGAGAGGGUGAUCGGCCACACUGGAACUGAGACACGGUCCAGACUCCUACGGGAGGCAGCAGUAGGGAAUCUUCCGCAAUGGGCGAAAGCCUGACGGAGCAACGCCGCGUGAGUGAUGAAGGUCUUCGGAUCGUAAAACUCUGUUAUUAGGGAAGAACAAAUGUGUAAGUAACUAUGCACGUCUUGACGGUACCUAAUCAGAAAGCCACGGCUAACUACGUGCCAGCAGCCGCGGUAAUACGUAGGUGGCAAGCGUUAUCCGGAAUUAUUGGGCGUAAAGCGCGCGUAGGUGGUUUUUUAAGUCUGAUGUGAAAGCCCACGGCUCAACCGUGGAGGGUCAUUGGAAACUGGAAAACUUGAGUGCAGAAGAGGAAAGUGGAAUUCCAUGUGUAGCGGUGAAAUGCGCAGAGAUAUGGAGGAACACCAGUGGCGAAGGCGACUUUCUGGUCUGUAACUGACGCUGAUGUGCGAAAGCGUGGGGAUCAAACAGGAUUAGAUACCCUGGUAGUCCACGCCGUAAACGAUGAGUGCUAAGUGUUAGGGGGUUUCCGCCCCUUAGUGCUGC